rnacentral:rRNA from 1 species
AAAAGGGAAAGAGCCCAGACCUACAGCUAAGGUCCCAAAGUACGUGUUAAGUGGAAAAGGAUGUGGGGAUUCUAAGACAACUAGGACGUUGGCUUAGAAGCAGCCAUUCAUUGAAAGAGUGCGUAAUAGCUCACUAGUCGAGAGUCCCUGCGCCGAAAAUGUCCGGGGCUGAAACACGACACCGAAGCUUAGGAAUGUGUAAACAUUGGUAGAGGAGCAUUGCUGGCGGGAUGAAGCCAUACCGUAAGGAGUGGUGGACUGCCAGGAAGAGAGAAUGCCGGAAUGAGUAGCGAGAUGAAGGUGAGAAUCCUUCAGGCCGAAUAUCUAAGGUUUCCAGAGUAAAGCUGAUCUGCUCUGGGUAAGUCGGGACCUAAGGCGAGGUCGAAAGACGUAGUCGAUGGAUAACAGGUUGAAAUUCCUGUACCGCAUAUAAACAGAACUGUGGGGACACAGACAGGGAAUGGAAUCCGGGAAUGGAAAUCCCGGUGCAAGCGAGGUAGGAGUGCUGUUGGCAAAUCCGCAGCACGAUCUGAAGACGUGACGCGUACCGAACAUAAGUAGGGAAGUCCAGGCCCCUGGCUGUCAAGAAAAGCCGCUAUUGUUUUAUAUGUGCCCGUACCGCAAACCGACACAGGUGGAUGAGGAGAGAAUCCUAAGGCCGACGGGAGAAGUAUUGUUAAGGAACUCGGCAAAAUGACUCCGUAACUUCGGGAGAAGGAGUGCCAUGAGAGUGGCCGCAGAGAAAUGGCCCAAGCAACUGUUUAGCAAAAACACAGGUCUAUGCAAAACCGCAAGGUGAAGUAUAUGGGCUGACGCCUGCCCGGUGCUGGAAGGUUAAGGGGAGAGGUUAGCGCAAGCGAAGCUUUGAACUUAAGCCCCAGUAAACGGCGGCCGUAACUAUAACGGUCCUAAGGUAGCGAAAUUCCUUGUCGGGUAAGUUCCGACCCGCACGAAAGGCGUAAUGAUUUGGGCACUGUCUCAACGAUACACCCGGUGAAAUUGAAAUACCAGUGAAGAUGCUGGUUACCUGCGCCAGGACGGAAAGACCCCAUGGAGCUUUACUCCAGCUUGAUACUGGGAUUCGAUACUGUAUGUACAGGAUAGGUGGGAGACGUUGAGCAUAGAACGCCAGUUUUAUGUGAGUCGCUGUUGGGAUACCACCCUUGCAGUAUUGGAUUUCUAACCUGCACCCAUGACCUGGGUGGGGGACAAUGUCUGGCGGGGAGUUUGACUGGGGCGGUCGCCUCCGAAAGGGUAUCGGAGGCGCUCAAAGGUUCCCUCAGAAUGGUUGGAAACCAUUCGAAGAGUGCAAAGGCAGAAGGGAGCUUGACUGUGACACCGACGGGUGGAGCAGGUACGAAAGUAGGACUUAGUGAUCCGGUGGUAUAAAGUGGGAUUGCCAUCGCUCAACGGAUAAAAGCUACCCUGGGGAUAACAGGCUUAUCACUCCCAAGAGUUCACAUCGACGGAGUGG